ensembl:snRNA U2 U2 spliceosomal RNA
AUGGCUUCUCGACCUUUUGGCUAAGAUCCAGUGUAGUAUCUGUUCUUAUCGGUUUAAUAUCUGAUACAUCCUCCAUCCAAGGACAAUAUAUUAAAUAGAUUUUGGAGCAGAGAGAUGGAAUAGAAGCUUGCUCCAUCCACUCCAUGCAUCGACCUGGUAUUGCAGUACCUCCAGGAACAGUGCACCCCCU